AUGGAGGGGUUUCUGGGCUUGUUGCUCUUUGUGAGGCUCAGCUGGGUGUUUUCUCUCUCUAGCUCAUCACCUGGAGAAGAGGUGUUGGGGCUGGGGACUUGGUCCCCACGCACGGAUCUGGGCACUUUGCUGUGGAUGAGGGCAGUCAAUGCCUCUGCCUGCAGCCUCCAGUCCAGGUACAGUGAAGGAGUUUUGCUCUGUGUCCUGCCAAGCUCCCCAGGAGAUCAGCUGCCCCUGCUGGCUAACAGUAGAGAGAGGUCCUGCUUUGUCUCCUGUUCUUGGUCUGGCGUCGACCUGCGUGUGGCUGUGCAGCUCGGAGACCGCAGUCCUGUACCAGGUACCGUGCUGCCUGUAAAGCCACAUCCUCUCAGGGGGCUGGCAGGCUGCGGCCAGCGCUGUUGCAAUCUGCCUGUUGUCCUCACCUGGAGGGGCUUGGGGGUCCGUGCUCGCCACUGGCUUGAUUUUUAUCACUCUGGCCACAGAUGCGGGGCUAGGAGCCUGCCUGUGCCUCAGGGUAAAGUGCUGCGCGGGUGCCUUCGAGCCACAGUGAUGGGGUAG
rnacentral:lncRNA from 1 species